rnacentral:lncRNA from 1 species
UUUUUGUUAUGUAAGGAUACAAGUCAAUAUGGCAAUUAAAUUGUACCAAAACUACGGAAGAAAUCAUUAAUGCAGAAAAGGAAAGGGGUAUGAAUCAUUGUGCAUUUGCUCCUCUUUAUAAACACCGGUGCGGGAGAGAUACUUUCAUAAAAGGACAACAUUAAGAGAAAAUAAGUAAUAGCAAGGCAGUCAGGAUGAUCGCACUUAUCAAGAAAAAGACACACAUUCUCUAUUGUGUUACUCUUUUGCUGAUGUGUACCACUUUUUUGUGUGGCCCUGCAGCAUCUAGGAGGGACAUAGGUAAUUUCCAAAUACGUUUCUUGAAUGAGUUUCUCAAUAUUCAACAGACCCAAAUGAUUAGGUAUCUUGUAUUCCAUAUGUAUUAAUGUGUAUGUUGUGGUUCUUCCUUCACCGUGUUUAGGUACCAACGCUGCAUUUGGAAACCAAUGUUUUACUUACUCGGUAUGCAUGGACCCAUAUCAAUACGCCGUUGAUUAUUGCAACAAAGAGUGCAAAAUACUUGUCUAUGACGGGCAGAGAGGCUACUGCAAGAAGGAGAAUAACGGCGUGUGUUGUUGUGUUGCUCCCUCCCUAAUGUGAAAAUCAUGUUAUACUAUCAUUUUAUAGAAAACCUUUGCAUGCAUUUGCUAUUAAAAAUACCAAUUUAUAUGGAUUAUACGAGCAUUUCAAUAAAGUAUAGAGGUAGUUGCUUUCGAAGACCAACUUGAUUAGCCGAUCAAUUCUUCGGGUCAUAUGAAACAACAACGAGGCAGCUAAAAAUUGAAAGUACUAAUAAUCUUAAGAAAUUAAAUUGGGGAGUGAAUUGAUGGAAAUAUAUAUAAAAAAUUGGUAAUACAAAAUUUUGCCAUUGAACAAUGUUAGUUAAUACGAAUUGAUGGAUCUACAACUCAAAAAUGUCCAUAUUUCAACCCUAGACUAUCACAAAUGUCUAAGAAUCAACCCCAAACUUUGAAACAAUCUAAAUUGCAAUUCGGAACUGUCAAAGCCGAUCAUGUUGUUGAAGAGGGUCGUGCUCUCCGGCGUGGUGGAAGGCGAUGGCCCUUGGUCGACCGUCUUGUCGUUAUUUUGUAUGAGGCCCAUAUGAUGUGGCACCUCAUAGAUCUUCUCCAUGACCGAAGGGAAUUGCCCAUGCUCAACCAUUCUCCUUGAGGGGCUUUCGAAGAUGGAAGUGUCGCCCUCACUUGUGGGUGGUCUCCUUGGACUUGACGAUGUCGAUGUAGGCGUACUAGUGGAAACUGGGCAAAGAUGCCAUGUGUCCAAAGACGAAGAUGCCUUGAUAACACUUGGCGAAGAUGCUGAAGUGGUGGUCGUAGCUGUAGCUUCCUCUUGGUGGUGCUUGUCUUGCGGUCUUCUCUUGAUCUCUUGAAGCUUGGCUGUAGCUUGAUGUAGAUAUUUUUGGGACUUGUUGGUGUGCGCAUCUCGAGCGUCAUCGUGUUGAUGGUGAUGUUGUCGCGCUUGACCUUGUAUGUGAUGGUGCUCAUCAUCUCGAAGAUGAGGACGUGGUCAAAGCAUGCUUGCCUGGGAUGAGCGCUUCAAAGAUUUGCAACUUGAGCGUCGCCGCCUUGAAGAUGAUGAAGGGGAAGAAGACUUGUAGUUGGCCACCAUGUCUCGUACUUGAAGCAUGUGUGCGUCCAACUUGUUGUCGAUGUAGUCUAUUUUCCUUGCUCCGGCGUGUCGUAUAUCGAUGGCGAGUAGGAAAAUGAGAGAACAAUACCGAAGUUACCUUUCCCGGGGAUUGUGGAUGUAUCAAGUAUCGCUCAAUGUAAUGCUACAAUAGGAGAAUUGGUACCGGGUUUGUUUCUCACACCUACACAAGUAAAGGCUUAUCGAGGAUCUUAGUUAGGAUGAGUGGCACAAAAUUUCAAGCAAAUGGUAGUCAAGAUAUCAAUAAGGUUGAGAAGGUUCACAAAAUUGCAAGUAAAGUGAAUAGAUCAAGCCCAAGAAGAUCACUAGGAACACACACACACGAAAGAUACAUGGGAUCCACACAACCAAAGAGUGAGCUCAAAAUGUGUAACCCAAAAAAUGCUCUUAUUGUAUGGAUGCACGAGAUACACUAGCUCGAUUGCUCAAGUGGGCUAGAUACGCUCUAGUGCACCAACCUAUAAGAGUAAUUGUGUCUUCUUCAAUCCCAAAUAUGCUAUGUAUGAGGUGUCCAUGAAACUAUGCAAAUGGCAUGAGGCUAUUGCUUACAAGCUCUUUGUUUCUCUUAUUUUGCUUAAAAACUUUUCUUUUCUUUCCUUUUUCUCUAUUCUUGAUGCUCGAGCCAAGUAUGAUAUGAGACAAGGAUGUAAGAUAUGCACAGGGGAGACUUAUGGCACAAUGAUGACAGCAAGAUGAUUUGCAUGCUAAAUGUAGCUAUGCGGAGUAAGCGUACCACUAAGGUGCACAAAGAGCGUGGCCCGACAACAACUCGCUACUCUCAAUAGGUAAGUGAUGCAAAAUGGCUCGGGUUAUCAAUACAAGGGCAAGGAAAUGUACUAAGUGUCGUCGAAGUUACCAUCCUUGCUUACGGUUGGCGGUGUCAAAGGUGAAGAUUGUCGGCGAUGACGACUCUGGGGCGAUGGUGAAUGGCGGUGAUGUCGAUGUCACACCAUUCCUAAGUAGCCGAAACACCUUAGGAAACAAAAACUGCAACCCAAAAUUGGUCAAAAUGCGGAAGGUGGGUGAUUUUAUGAUAAAAAAUUUGAUUGAGGCAAAUGGUGGUGGUAAUGAUCUAUGUGGAUGGGGGGAUGUCAAGAGCUACAAAACAACUAAAGAACACAAAAGGCAGACUUGGGAGGUGAAAGUUAUGGCUAAAACGAAGGUGUUGGUCGAUAUGUCUCCAACGUAUCUAUAUAUUUUUAUUGUUCCAUGCUAUUAUAUUAUCUAUAAUAGAUGUUUUAUAUGCAUUUAUAUGCUAUUUUAUAUUAUUUUUGGGACUAACUUAUUAACCUAGAGCCCAGUGCCAGUAUAUGUUUUUCCUUGUUUUGGAGUCUUACAGAAAAGGAAUAUCAAAUGGAGUCCAAACGGAAUAAAACUUUCGCGAUGAUUUUUCUUGGACCAGAAGACAUCCACGGAACUUGGAGAUGAAGUCAGAAGAGUCCCAAGGGCUCCACAAGCCCUCAUGGCGCGCCCUAUGGGGGCACCCCCUGGCUUGUGCCCCCCCCGGGAGUCCACCGACCUCCCUCUCAGCUCUAUAAAUUCACAAAUAUUCCCAAACAACCAGAAGCGUCCACCAAAAUACUUUUCCGCCGCUGUAACCUUCUGUUCCCGCGAGAUCCCAUCUUGGGGCCUUUUUCGGCAUUCUGUCGGAGGGGGAUUCGAUCAUGGAGGGCAUCUACAUCAACUCUAUUGCCCUUCAGAUGAAGCAUGCGUAGUUUACCAUAGACCUACGGGUCCAUAGGUAGUAGCUAGAUGGCUUUUUCUCUAUUUUUGAUCCUCAAUACAAUGUUCUCCUCGAUGAUUGCUACCUCUUGAGCUUGCGUUGGUUUUUCCAUUGAAGAGGAAAGGGUGAUGAAGCAAAGUAGAGUAAGUAUCUCCCUCAGUUUGAGAACCAAGGUAGUAAUCCAGUAGGAGACAAUGCACAAGUCACCGAAUACCUGCACAAACAAUCAAACAAACUUGCACCCAACACGAUAAAGGGGUUGUCAAUCCCUUCACAAUUACUUCCAAAAGUGAGAUAUGAUAGAUAUAGAUAAACAAUAAAGUAAAUAUUUUUGGUAUUUUUGAUUUAUAGAUCGGAAAGUAAAAGAUUGCAAAAUAGUAGAUCAGAAACUUAUAUGAUGGAAAAUAGACCCGGGGCCCAUAGGUUUCACUAGUGGCUUCUCUCAAGAUAGCAAAUAAUAUGGUGGGUGAACAAAUUACUGCCAAGCAAUUGAUAGAAGAGCGCAUAAUUAUGACGAUAUAUAAGGCAAUGAUCAUGGACAUAGGCAUCAUGUCCGUGUCAAGUAGACCGACUCCUGCCUGCAUCUACUACUAUUACUCCAUACAUCGACCGCUAUCCAGCGUGCAUCUAGAGUAUUAAGUUCAUAAAGAAUGGAGUAACACAUUAAGUAAGAUGACAUGAUGUAGAGGAAUUAACUCAAGCAAUAUGAUGAAAACCCUAUCUUUUACCCUCGAUGGCAACAAUACAAUACGUGCCUUGCUGCCCCUAAUGUCACUGGGAAAGGACACCGCAAGAUUGAACCCAAAUCUAAGCACUUCUCCCAUUGCAAGAAAAACCAAUCUAGUAGGCCAAACUAAACCAAUAAUUCGAAGAGACUUGCAAAGAUAUCAAAUCAUGCAUAUAAGAAUUCAGAGAAGAUUCAAAUAAUAUUCAUAGAUAAUCUGAUCAUAAAUCCACAAUUCAUCGGAUGUCGGCAAACACACCAGAAAAGAGUAUUACAUCGAAUAGAUCUCCAAGAACAUCGAGGAGAACAUGUUGGGAAACAAAGAGAGAGAAGAAGCCAUCUAGCUACUAGCUAUGGACCCGUAGGUCUGUGGUAAACUACUCAUGCUUCAUUGGAAGGGCAAUGGUGUUGAUGUAGAAGCCCUCCGUGAUCGAAUCCCCCUCCGGCAGGACGCCGGAAAAGGUCCCUAGAGGGCAUCUCACGGGUACAGAAGAUUGCAGUGAUGGAAAAGUGUUUUCGUGGUUCUCCCUGAUUGUUUUGGGGUAUAAGAGCAUAUAUGGGCAAAAUAAUUAGGUCAGUGUUGGGGAUCAUUGCAGAAAUUAAAAAAUUUCUAUGCAUCACCAAGAUCAAUCUAUGGAGAAACUAGCAACGAGAGAGAGGGGAGUGCAUGUUCAUACCCUUGAAGAUCACGAAAAUGGAAGCAUUGCAGGAACGCGGUUGGAGGAGUCGUACACGUAGCGAUUCCGAUCGCGGUCAAUUCCGAUCUUUGCGUCGAACAACGGCGCCUCCGUGUUCAACACACGUGCAGCCCGGUGACAUCUCCUACGCCUUGAUCUAGCAAGGAGGAGGGAGAGGUUGGGGAAGACAACUCCAGCAGCAGCACGGCGGCGUGGUGGUGGUGGAGCAGUGGUUCUCCGGCAGGGCUUCACCAAGCUCAAACAGAGGAGGGGGUGUUGAGAGGGGGAGGGCUGCGCCUUGGAUGUGGUGCUGCUGCCCUCCCUCCUCCCCUCUAUUUAUAGGAUGAAGGGGGAAGGGGUCCGGCCCCUCUAGAUGAGAUCUAGAGGGGGGGCGGCGGCCAUGGGGAGGGGGCUUGCCCCCCAAGCCAAGGGGGACGCCCUCUUUAGGGUUCCCCCCAACCCUAGGCGCAUGGGCCCUAGGGGGGAUGGCGCCCAGCCCACUUAGGGGCUGGUUCCCUUCCACAUACAGCUCAUAGGCCCCCCUGGGGUAGGUGGACCCUCCCGGUGGACCCUCGGAACCCCUUCGGUGGCCCCAGUACAAUACCGACAAACCCCCGAAUACUACCGGUGACCGUAUGAUGACUUCCGAUAUAUAAAUCUUCACCUCCGGACCUUCCCGGAAAUCCUUGUGACGUCCGGGAUCUCAUCCGGGACUCCGAACAACAUUCGGCAACCACAUAUAAACUUUCCCUAUAACCCUAGCGUCAUCGAACCUUAAGUGUGUAAACCCUACGGGUUCGGGAAUCAUGCAGACAUGACCGAGACAUCUCUCCGGCCAAUAACCAACAGUGGGAUCUGGAUACCCAUGUUGGCUCCCACAUGUUCCACGAUGAUCUCGUCGGAUGAACCAUGAUGUCAAGCAGUCAAGCAAUCCCGUAUACAAUUCCCUUUGUCAAUCGGUACAUUACUUGCCCGAGAUUCGAUCGUCGGUAUCCCAAUACCUCAUUCAAUCUCGUUACCGGCAAGUCACUUUACUCGUUGCGUAAUGCAUGAUCCCGUGACUAACUACUUAGUCACAUUGAGCUCAUUAUGAUGAUGCAUUACCGAGUGGGCCCAGAGAUACCUCUCCGUCAUACGGACUGACAAAUCCCAGUCUCGAUUCGUGCCAACCCAACAAAUUUUUUUGGAGAUACCUGUAGUGCACCUUUAUAGUCUCCCAAUUACGUUGUGACGUUUGGUACACCCAAAGCACUCCUACGGUAUCCGGGAGUUACACAGUCUCAUGGUCUAAGGAAAUGAUACUUAACAUUAGAAAAGCUUUAGCAAACAAACUACACGAUCUUGUGCUAUGCUUAGGAUUGGGUCUUGUCCAUCACAUCAUUCUCCUAAUGAUGUGAUCCCGUUAUCAAUGACAUCCAAUGUCCAUAGUCAGGAAACCAUGACCAUAUGUUGAUCAACGAGCUAGUCAACUAGAGGCUCACUAGGGACAUGUUGUGGUCUAUGUAUUCACACAUGUAUUACGGUUUCCGAUCAAUACAAUUAUAGCAUGAACAGUAGACAAUUAUCAUGAACAAGGAAAUAUAAUAAUAACAAUUUUAUUAUUGCCUCUAGGGCAUAUUUCCAACAGUCUCCCACUUGCACUAGAGUCAAUAAUCUAGUUACAUUGUGAUGAAUCGAACACCCAUAGAGUUCUGGUGUUGAUCAUGUUUUGCUCGUGGAAGAGGUUUAGUCAACGGAUCUGCGACAUUCAGAUCCGUAUGCACUUUACAAAUAUCUAUGUCUCCAUCUUGAACAUUUUCACGAAUGGAGUUGAAGCGACGCUUGAUGUGCCUGGUCUUCUUGUGAAACCUGGGCUCCUUUGCAAGGACAAUAGCUCUAGUAUUAUCAUAGAAGAGAGUCAUCGGGCCCAACGCAUUGGGAAUAACUCCUAGGUCGGUAAUGAACUCCUUCAUCCAGAUUGCUUCAUGCGCUGCCUCCGAGGCUGCCAUGUACUUCGCUUCACAUGUAGAUCCCGCCAUGAUGCUUUGCUUGCAACUGCACUAGCUUACUACCCCACCAUUCAAAAUAUACAUGUAUCCAGUUUGUGACUUGGAGUCAUCCAGAUCUAUGUCGAAGCUAGCAUCGACGUAACCCUUUACGACAAGCUCUUCGUCACCUCCAUAAACGAGAAACAUAUCCUUAGUCCUUUUCAGGUACUUCAGGAUAUUCUUGACCGCUGUCCAGUGUUCCAUGUUGGGAUUACUUUGGUACCUCCCUACCAAACUUAUGGCAAGGUUUACAUCAGGUCUGGUACACAACAUGGCAUACGUAAUAGACCCUAUGGCUGAGGCAUAGGGGAUGACACUCAUCUUUUCUCUAUCUUCUACCGUGGUCGGGCUUUGAGCCGAGCUCAAUUUCACACCUUGCAAUACAGGCAAGAACCCCUUCUUGGACUGAUCCAUAUUGAAUCUUCAAUAUCUUAUCAAGGUAUGUGCUUUGUGAAAGACCUAUGAGGCGUCUCGAUCUAUCUCUAUAGAUCUUGAUGCCUAAUAUGUAAGCAGCUUCUCCAAGGUCCUUCAUUGAAAAACACUUAUUCAAGUAGGCCUUUAUGCUUUCCAAAAGUUCUAUAUCAUUUCCCAUCAAUAGUAUGGCAUCCACAUAUAAUAUGAGAAAUGCUACAGAGCUCCCACUCACUUUCUUGUAAACGCAGGCUUCUCCAUAAGUCUGCAUAAACCCAAACACUUUGAUCAUUUCAUCAAAGCGAAUGUUCCAACUCCGAGAUGCUUGCACCAGCCCAUAUAUGGAGCGCUAGAGCUUGCAUACCUUGUUAGCAUUCUUAGGAUCGACAAAACCUUCCGGCUGCAUCAUAUACAAUUCCUCCUUAAGGAAACCGUUAAAGAAUGCCGUUUUGACGUCCAUUUGCCAUAUCUCAUAAUCAUAGAAUGCGGCAAUUGCUAACAUGAUUCGGACGGACUUCAGCUUCGCCACGGGUGAGAAGGUCUCAUCGUAGUCAAACCCUUGAACUUGUCGAUAACCCUUAGCGACAAGCCGAGCUUUAUAGAUGGUAACAUUACCAUCCACGUCUGUCUUCUUCUUAAAGAUCCAUUUAUUUUCUAUCGCUCGCCGAUCACCGGGAAAAUCUGUCAAAGUCCAUACUUUGUUUUCAUACAUGAAUCCUAUCUCGGAUUGCAUGGCUUCAAGCCAUUUGUUGGAAUCUGGGCCCGCCAUCGCUUCUUCAUAGUUCAAAGGUUCACCAUUGUCUAACAACAUGAUUCCCAGGACAGGGUUGCCAUACCAUUCUGGUGUGGAACGUGUCAUUGUGGACCUACGAAGUUCAGUAGAAACUUGAUCCGAAGUACCUUGAUCAUCAUAAUUAACUUCCUCUCUAGCCGGUGCACGCACCACAAAAACAUCUUCUUGAGCUGCGCUACUUUCCGGUUCAAGAGGCAGUACUUCAUCAAGUUCUACUUUCCUCCCACUUACUUCUUUCCAGAGAAACUCUUUCUCCAGAAAGGACCCGUUCUUGGCAACAAAGAUCUUGCCUUCGGAUCUGAGGUAGAAGGUAUACCCAAUGGUUUCCUUAGGGUAUCCUAUGAAGAAGCAUUUUUCCGACUUGGGUUCGAGCUUUUCAGGUUGAAGUUUCUUGACAUAAGCAUCGCAUCCCCAAACUUUUAGAAACAACAGCUUAGGUUUCUUCCAAAACCAUAAUUCAUAUGGUGUCGUCUCAACGGAUUUAGACGGUGCCCUAUUUAAAGUGAAUGUAGCUGUCUCUAAAUCGUAUCCCCAAAAUGAUAGCGGCAAAUCGGUAAGAGACAUCAUAGAUCGCACCAUAUCCAAUAGAGUGCGAUUAUGAUGUUCGGAUACACCGUUAUGCUGAGGUGUUCCAGGCGGCGUGAGUUGUGAAACAAUUCCACAUUUCUUAAGUGCGUACCAAAUUCGUGACUCAAAUAUUCUCCCCCAUGAUCUGAUCGUAAGAACUUUAUUUUUCUGUCACGUUGAUUCUCCACCUCACUUUGAAAUUCCUUGAACUUUUCAAAGGUCUCAGACUUGUGUUUCAUUAAGUAGACAUACCCAUAUCUACUUAAGUCAUCAGUGAGGGUGAGAACAUAACGAUAGCCACCGUGAGCCUCAACGCUCAUUAGAAUGCACACAUCAGUAUGUAUGAUUUCCAAUAAGUUGGUUGCUCGCUCCAUUGUUCCGGAGAAUGGAGUCUUGGUCAUUUUGCCCAUGAGGCAUGGUUCGCACGUGUCAAAUGAUUCGUAAUCAAGAGACUCCAAAAGUCCAUCUGCAUGGAGCUUCUUCAUGCGUUUGACACCAAUGUGACCAAGGCGGCAGUGCCACAAGUAGGUGGGACUAUCAUUAUUAACCUUACAUCUUUUGGUAUUCACACUAUGAAUAUGUGUAACAUCACGUUCGAGAUUCAAUAAGAAUAAACCAUUGACCAACGGGGCAUGACCAUAAAACAUAUCUCUCAUAUAAAUAGAAUAACCAUUAUUCUCGGAUUUAAAUGAGUAGCCAUCUCGCAUGAAACGAGAUCCAGAUACAAUGUUCAUGCUCAAAGCUGGCACUAAAUAACAAUUAUUGAGGUUUAAAACUAAUCCCGUAGGUAAAUGUAGAGGCAGCGUGCCGACGGCGAUCACAUCGACCUUGGAACCAUUCCCGACGCGCAUCGUCACCUCGUCCUUCGCUAGUCUCCGCUUAUUCCGCAGCUCCUGUUUUGAGUUACAAAUAUGAGCAACCGCACCGGUAUCAAAUACCCAGGAGCUACUAUGAGUACUAGUAAGGUACACAUCAAUAACAUGUAUAUCACAUAUACCUUUGGUGUUGCCGGCCUUCUUGUCUGCUAAGUACUUGGGGCAGUUCCGCUUCCAGUGACCGUUUCCCUUGCAAUAAAGGCACCCAGUCUCAGGUUUGGGUCCAUGCUUUGGCUUCUUCCCGGCAACUUGCUUACCGGGCGCGACAACUCCCUUGUCGUCCUUCUUGAAGUUCUUCUUACCCUUGCCUUUCUUGAAACUAGUGGUUUUAUUGACCAUCAACACUUGAUGUUCCUUUUUGAUCUCCACCUCUGCUGAUUUCAGCAUUGAAUAUACCUCAUGAAUGGUUUUCUCCAUCCCUUGCAUAUUGAAAUUCAUCACAAAGCUCUUAUAGCUAGGUGGAAGCGACUGAAGGGUUCUGUCAACGACCGCGUCAUCUGGGAGAUUAACUUUGAGCUAAGACAAGAGGUUGUGCAACCCAGACAUUUUGAGUAUGUGCUUGCUGACAGAACUAUUCUCCUCCAUCUUACAACUAUAGAACUUGUCGGAGACUUCAUAUCUCUCGACCCGGGCAUUUGCUUGGAAAACCAUUUUCAGCUCUUGGAACAUCUCAUAUGCUCCGUGCUUCUCAAAACGCUUUUGGAGCCCCGGUUCUAAGCUGUAAAGCAUGCCGCACUGAACCAGGGAGUAAUCAUCACUACGCGACUGCCAGGCGUUCUAAACGUCUUGAGUUGCUGGGAAAACGGGUGCUUCACCUAGCGGUGCUUCUAGGACAUAUGCUUUCUUGGCAGCUAUGAGGAUGAUCCUCAAGUUUCGGGCCCAGUCCGUAUAGUUGCUACCAUCGUCUUUCAGCUUGGUUUUCUCUAGGAACGCGUUAAAGUUGAGGGAAAUAUUAGCGUGGGCCAUUUGAUCUACAAGACAUAUUGCAAAGAUUUUAGACUAAGUUCAUGAUAAUUAAGUUGAUCUAAUCAAAUUAUUUAAUGAACUCCCACUCAGAUAGACAUCCCUCUAGACAUCUAAGUGAUACAUGAUCCGAGUCAACUAGGCCAUGUCCGAUCAUCGCGUGAGACGGACUAGUCAUCAUCGGUGAACAUCUUCAUGUUGAUUGUAUCUGCUAUACGACUCAUGUUUGACCUUUCGGUCUCUUGUGUUCCGAGGCCAUGUUUGUACAUGCUAGGCUCGUCAAGUCAACCUAAGUGUUUUGCAUGUGUAAAUCUAGCUUACACCCGUUGUAUGCGAACGUUAGAAUCUAUCACACCCAAUCAUCACGUGGUGCUUCGAAACAACAAACUUUUGCAACGGUGCACAGUUAGGGGGAACACUUUCUUGAAUUUUUUAUGAGGGAUCAUCUUAUUUGUGCUACCAUUGUUCUAAGCAAAUAAGAUGUAAAAACAUGAUAAACAUCACAUGCAAUCAAAUAGUGACAUGAUAUGGCCAAUAUCAUUUUGCUCCUUUUGAUCUCCACCUUCGGGGCGCCAUGAUCAUCAUCGUCACCGGCAUGACACCAUGAUCUCCAUCAUCAUGAUCUCCGUCAUCAUGUCUUCAUGAAGUUGUCUCGCCAACUAUUACUUCUACUACUAUGGCUAACGGUUUAGCAAUAAAGUAAGUUAAUUACAUGGCAUUAUUCAAUGACAUGCAUGUCAUACAAUAAAUUAAGACAACUCCUAUGGCUCCUGCCGGUUAUCAUACUCAUCGACAUGCAAGUCGUGAUUCCUAUUACAAGAACAUGAUCAAUCUCAUACAUCACAUAUAUAUCAUUCAUCACAUCCUUUUGGCCUUAUCACAUCACACGACAUAUGCUGCAAAAACAAGUUAGACGUCCUCUAAUUGUUGUUGAAAGUUUUUACGUGGAUGUUAUAGGUUUCUAGCAAGAAUGUUUCUUACCUACGCCCAAACCACAACGUGAUAUGCCAAUUGCUAUUUACCCUUCAUAAGGACCCUUUUCAUCGAAUCUGAUCCGACUAAAGUGGGAGAGAUAGACACCCGCUAGCCACCUUAUAUAACUAGUGCAUGUCAGUCGGUGGAACCUGUCUCACGUAAGCGUAUGUGUAAGGUCGGUCCGGACCGCUUCAUCCCACGAUGCCGCCGAAUCAAGAUAAGACUAGUAACAUCAAGUAAAUUGACAAAAUCGAUACCACAACAACAUGUGUUCUACUCGUGCAUAGAAACUACGCAUAGACCUAGCUCAUGAUGCCAUUGUUGGGGAUUGUUGCAGAAAUUAAAAAAAUUCUACGCAUCACCAAGAUCAAUCUAUGGAGAGAUUAGCAACGAGAGAGAGGGGAGUGCAUCUUCAUACCCUUGAAGAUCGUGAAAACAGAAGUGUUGCAAGAACGCGGUUGGAGGAGUCGUACAUGUAGCGAUUCAGAUCUCGGCCGAUUCUGAUCUUAGCGCCAAACAACGUCGCCUUCACGUUCAACAUACGUGCAGCCCUGUGAUGUCUCCCGGGCCUUGAUCCAGCAAGGAGGAGGGAGAGGAUGGGGAAGACAACUCCAGCAGCAGCACGACGGCGUGGUGGUGGUGGAGCAGUGGUUCUCCGGUAGGGCUACGCCAAGCUCAAACGGAGGAGGAGGGGGUGUUGGAGAGGGGGAGGGCCGCGCCUUGGAUGUGGUGCUGCUGCCCUCCCUCCUCCCCUCUAUUUAUUGGGUGAAGGGGGAAAGGGGGCCGGCCCCUCUAGAUGAGAUCUAGAGAGGGGGGGGGGUCGACGGCCAAGGGGAGGAGGCUUGCCCCCCAAGCCAAGGGGGGCGCCCCUUUAGGGUCCCCCCCAACCCUAGGCGCAUGGGCCCUAGGGAGGAUGGCGCCCAUCCCUUUUAGGGGCUGGUUCCCUUCCACAUACACCCAUAGGGCCCUCCGGGGCAGGUGGACCCUCCCGGUGGACCCCCAGAACCCCUUCGGUGGUCCCGGUACAAUACCGGCAAACCCCCGAAUACUUCUGGUGACCGUAUGAUGACUUCCCAUAUAUAAAUCUUCACCUCCAGACCAUUCCGGAACUCCUCGUGACGUCUGGGAUCUCAUCCGGGACUCCAAACAACAUUCAACAACAUACAAACUUUCCCUAUAACCCUAGCAUCAUCGAACCAUAAGUGUGUAGACCCUACGGGUUCGGGAAUCAUGCAGACAUGACCGAGACAUCUCUCCGGCAAAUAACCAACAACGGGAUCUGGAUACCCAUGUUGGCCCCCACAUGUUCCACGAUGAUCUCAUCGGAUGAACCACGAUGUCAAGGAUUCAAGCAAUCCCGUAUACAAUUCCCUUUGUUAAUCGGUACGUUACUUGCCCGAGAUUCAAUUGUCGGUAUCCCAAUACCUCAUUCAAUCUCGUUACCGGCAAGUCACUUUACUCGUUGCGUAAUGCAUGAUCCCAUGACUAACUACUUAGUCACAUUGAGCUCAUUAUGAUAAUGCAUUACCAAGUGGGCCCAGAGAUACCUCUCCGUCAUACGGAGUGACAAAUGCUAGUCUUGAUUCAUGCCAACCAACAAACACUUUCGGAGAUACCUGUAGUGCACCUUUAUCGUCACCCAGUUACGUUGUGAUGUUUGGUACACCCAAAGCACUCCUACGGUAUCCGGGAGUUACACAAUCUCAUGGUCUAAGGAAAUGAUACUUGACACUAGAAUAGCUUUAGCAAAUGAACUACAAGAUCUUGUGCUAUGCUUAGGAUUGGGUCUUGUCCAUCACAUCAUUCUCCUAAUGAUGUGAUCCCAUUAUCAAUGACAUCCAAUGUCCAUAGUCAGGAAACCAUGACCAUUUGUUGAUCAACGAGCUAGUCAACUAGAGGCUCACUAGGGCAAGUUGUGGUCUAUGUAUUCACACAUGUAUUACGGUUUCCGGUCAAUACAAUUAUAGCAUGAACAAUAGACAAUUAUAAUGAACAAGGAAAUAUAAUAAUAACCAUUUUAUUAUUGCCUCUAGGGCAUAUUUCCAACAGUCAGGAAACCUACGAAGGGCCCACAAGAUAGUGGGGAGUGCCCUCCACCCUUGUGGCCGAAGGAAAUAUGCCCUAGAGGCAAUAAUAAAGUUAUUAUUUAUUUCCUUAUAUCAUGAUAAAUGUUUAUUAUUCAUGCUAGAAUUGUAUUAACCGGAAACUUAGCACAUGUGUGAAUACAUAGACAAAACAUAGUGUCCCUAGUAUGCCUCUACUUGACUAGCUCAUUUAUCAAAGAUGAUUAUGUUUCCUAACCAUAGACAUGUGUUGUCAUUUGAUGAACGUGAUCACAUCAUUAGGAGAAUGGUGUGAUGGACAUGACCCAUCCAUUAGCUUAGCAUUAUGAUCGUUACAAUUUCAUUGCUACUGCUUUCUUCAUGACUUAUACAUAUUUCUCAGACUAUGAGAUUAUGCAACUCCCGGACACCGGAGGAAUGCCUUGUGUGCUACCAAACGUCACAACGUAACUGGAUGAUUAUAAAGAUGCUCUACAGGUGUCUCCGAAGGUGUUUGUUGGGUUGGCAUGGAUUGAGAUUAGGAUUUGUCACUCCGAGUAUCGGAGAGGUAUCUCUGGGCCCUCUCUGUAAUGCACAUCAUAACAAGCCUUGCAAGCAAUGUGACUAAUGAGUUAGUUACGGGAUGAUGUAUUACAGAACGAGUAAAGAGACUUGCCGGUAACGAGAUUGAACUAGGUAUGAAGAUACCAAUGAUCGAAUCUCGGGCAAGUAACAUACCGAUGACAAAGGGAAUAAUGUAUGUUGUCAUAAUGGUUCGACCGAUAAAGAUCUUCGUAGAAUAUGUAGGAGACAAUAUGGGCAUCUAGGUUCCGCUAUUGGUUAUUGACCAGAGAGGUGUCUCGGUCAUGUCUACAUAGUUCUCGAACCCGUAGGGUCCGCAUGCUUAACAUUCAUUGAUGAUAUAGUAUUAUAUAGUUAUGUAUGUUGGUGACCGAAUGUUGUUCGGAGUCCCGGAUGUGAUCAUGGACAUGACGAGGAACUCCGGAAUGGUCUGAAGAUAAAGAUUGAUAUAUGGGAUAAUAGUGUUUAGUCUCCGAAAGGGUUCUGGAAUUCACCGGAAGGGGUUCUGGAUGUUUCCCGAAAUGUUUGGGUACGACAACACUUUAUUUGGGCCAAAUGGGAAAGCCCACAAGGUUUUUGGAAAGCGCAAAAGGAAGUUUUGCAGAGUCCAGGGGCCAGACUCCAGGGUCCCUGGCGUCUGGGUCCAGACGCUGGGAACCCUGGCGUCUGGCCCUGGAGUCCGAGAAGGACUCUUGCCUUUCGGGUGAAACCGACUUUGUGGAGGCUUUUACUCCAAGUUUCGACCCCAAGGCUCAACAUAUAAAUAGAGGGGCAUGUCUAGCACCAAAGACACAUCAAGAAACACCAAGCCGUGUGCCAGCAACCAUGUCCCCUCUAGUUUAUCCUCCGUCAUAGUUUCCAUAGUGCUUAGGCGAAGCCCUGCGGAGAUUGUUCUUAACCAACACCGUCACCAUGCUGUCGUGCUGCCAGAACUCAUCUACUACUUCACCCGUUUUGCUGGAUCAAGAAGGCGAGGACGUCAUCAAGCUAAGCGUGUGCUGAACACGGAGGUGCCAUACGUUCGGUACUUGAUCGGGAUGGAUCAUGAAGGUGUACGACUACAUCAACCGCGUUGAUAAAUGCUUCCGCUUUGCGAUCUUCAAGGGUAUGAAGAUACACUCCCCCUCUCGUUGCUAUGCAUGUCCUAGAUAGAUCUUGUGUGAUCGUAGGAUUUUUUUUGAAAUUAAUGCAUUCCCCAACAGUGGCAUCCGAGCCAGGUUUAUGCGUAGAUGUUAUAUGCAUGAGUAGAACACAAAGAGUUAUGGGCGAUAAUAGUCAUACUGCUUACCAGCAUGUCAUACUUUGAUUCGGCGGUAUUGUUGGAUGAAGCGGCUUAGACCAACAUUACGCGUACGCUUAUGCGAGACUGGUUGUACCGACGUGCUUCGCACACAGGUGGCUAGUGAGUGUCUGUUUCUCCAACUUUAGUUGAAUCGAGUGUGGCUACACCCGGUCCUUGUUGAAGGUUGAAACAACACACUUGACAAAAAAUCAUUGUGGUUUUGAUGCGUAGGUAAGAACGG